rnacentral:rRNA from 1 species
CAGCCCUAAACGAUGCGCGUUAGGUGUAUCGGUGACCACGAGUCACCGAGGUGCCGAAGGGAAACCGUGAAACGUGCCGCCUGGGAAGUACGGUCGCAAGGCUGAAACUUAAAGGAAUUGGCGGGGGAGGCACCACAACGGGUGGAGCCUGCAGUUUAAUUUGGACUCAACGCCGGGAAGCUCACCGGAUAAGACAGCGGAAUGAUUGCCGGGCUGAAGACCCUGCAUGACCAGCUGAGAGGAGGUGCAUGGCGUAGUCGUGU